rnacentral:rRNA from 1 species
CCUACGGGUGGCUGCAGUGGGGAAUAUUGGACAAUGGGGGCAACCCUGAUCCAGCCAUGCCGCGUGUGUGAAGAAGGCCCUCGGGUUGUAAAGCACUUUCAGUGAGGAAGAACGCCUGGUGGUUAAUACCCAUCAGGAAAGACAUCACUCACAGAAGAAGCACCGGCUAACUCCGUGCCAGCAGCCGCGGUAAUACGGAGGGUGCGAGCGUUAAUCGGAAUUACUGGGCGUAAAGCGCGCGUAGGUGGCUUGAUAAGCCGGUUGUGAAAGCCCCGGGCUCAACCUGGGAACGGCAUCCGGAACUGUGAAGCUAGAGUGCAGGAGAGGAAGGUAGAAUUCCCGGUGUAGCGGUGAAAUGCGUAGAGAUCGGGAGGAAUACCAGUGGCGAAGGCGGCCUUCUGGACUGACACUGACACUGAGGUGCGAAAGCGUGGGUAGCAAACAGGAUUAGAUACCCCAGUAGUC